UGCAUUCACUACUGUAAGUCGCUCUGAGAGCGUCUGCUAAAUGACUAAAA
rfam:Salmo salar isolate Sally breed double haploid chromosome ssa12, whole genome shotgun sequence.